UUGAUGACCACGAUGUUCCUCUGGUCGUCUCUGGGUUGCGGGUCUCCAUGCAAGCUCUCAGAUUUUUUUGGUCAUCCAAGGUCUGGAGCACCAUAUUGCCUGCUGCGUGUUAGGUCUCGGCGUCUAAGGCACAUUUGUUACUAGAAGAGCCAAUAGUCCCGCUGAUAACUUAUCAGUCAGUUGAGUUGAGGCAAGCUUUGUUCAACUGCAAGAGGAGCACCUCGAGCCAGAGAUGGAGAUGGAGGAGGGAGAAAAACAGGAUGAUAUGGAGAGGUCAGGAGGAUGGCGGCACCGAGGGCGACAGGCAGCACUAGGUGACGUCGGCAAUGGGGAUGCCUAUUUUCUACUUUUGUGGCCAAUCCUCAAUCCCCUGUCUCUUCUAUCUAUUUCUGCUGUAACUGAAUUCCUUAUGUCUAAGCUGAAUUUUUCACACUUCAGCUGUCCAGAUGGAUGUGUCCUUGCAGCAAGAAGUGUGGUAUUAUUAUCACUGGGGAAAUAGACAUUCUCUGAAUUUUGCUUGAGGUUUCCGAUGGUUUAUGGUGUUUCAGUUUAAUAAGCGUGCUUCCAUUGUCUGAACAAACCAUGUCUUCCAAAUAAAAUGUUUUCAUGGGAGCUUCAUUAUUAGUACCAUGUGUUCCAAAUAAAAGGUUUCCAUGAGAGCUUCAUUAUUAGCAAGCUAAAUUAGGAUGAGCUUUUGUCAACCGUAGGUAUUACUGUAAGAUUGAAGUGGACAAAUGGAGGGUACCGAAGAUGGACCUAUAACUAGGAGGCUCUUCCAGUUCUGCCAUGGAACGGAUGGGUCGGAGCACGCACCCUCCAAGGUGCAUAGCUACAGACGGACAAGGAGCACAAGCACUUUAAAAG